AAAUAAAAAAAAGUGGGGAAAAAUAAUUUCAAGAUAUAUCAAUCGCAAGUUAAGACAAUUAAAAGAGAGAGAAAGGGGUUUUGUAGCAGCUGGUUAGAAAAAGAAUUCAAGUUCAACAAAGGAGCAAAUUCAGAUUUCUAACAAGGUCAAAUGGUCCAAUGCUGAGUUAAUCUAUUGGAGGGGCUAAUGUGACAAAAAAAA
rnacentral:lncRNA from 1 species